rnacentral:lncRNA from 1 species
CUCAGGAAGUGACAUAGCAGGGAGACUCAUAAGGGCAAGAAGGAAGUGGGCCACCUUCUCUCUUCCUCCUGGUCUCUGAUCUGGGGUUGCCAUGUGAUCCACUGGCAAGAGAGGGCACCAGCAGAAGGCAUCAUCUAUAAGAGGCCUUUAAAAACUGAACCAGAAAUUUGGCCCCCAUGUUCUCUGUUUUCCCUUGGCUCAACCACCAAGAGUUCUCACGGACAUCACACGUAUCUUUUAACAGAAUCUGAGAUAGUAGUUGCCAAUAUAGGCUAGAUUUGCCUCCAAGUAUUGGGACUUCUUUUGGAGUGAUAAGAAAAUAAGGAAGGAUGCAAAUUCAUGUUCUGACAGCUCAUUCAAUGAAUCUGCAGGCAAUGAGACAUUCUGGUGUGGUUUACUAUUCAAUACAAGGAAUUCUGUUAUUUUCUAGAGUUUCAUCAACACAAGUGUUACAAGCAUACUGUUGUUUUCAUUCUACUGUUGAUUUUAGAUUUCUACAUUUCAGAUUGACUUCAAGGCUCUUGGAAGAUUGGAAAAGGACAAAAAGACCCAGUAACAUGUUUGGACUUGAAAAUCAGAACAAGCAGGCAAUCUGUAGAGCUAUCUUGGAAAUAAGCUAUGAAAAGAUAACAUCCCCACCUUGUGAUCUUGGCAGAACCCUUCCUACACUGUACAGAGAUACACAUAAUUCCACCUGAACUUCUGAGAAGUAGAAAG